rnacentral:rRNA from 1 species
UACGUAGGGUGCAAGCGUUAAUCGGAAUUACUGGGCGUAAAGCGUGCGCAGGCGGUUGUGCAAGACAGAUGUGAAAUCCCCGUGCUUAACCUGGGAAUUGCAUUUGUGACUGCACGGCUAGAGUGUGUCAGAGGGGGGUAGAAUUCCACGUGUAGCAGUGAAAUGCGUAGAGAUGUGGAGGAAUACCGAUGGCGAAGGCAGCCCCCUGGGAUAACACUGACGCUCAUGCACGAAAGCGUGGGGAGCAAACAGG